rnacentral:rRNA from 1 species
AACGAACGCUGGCGGCAGGCCUAACACAUGCAAGUCGAGCGAGACCUUCGGGUCUAGCGGCGGACGGGUUAGUAACGCGUGGGAACGUGCCCUUCUCUGCGGAAUAGCCACUGGAAACGGUGAGUAAUACCGCAUACGCCCUUCGGGGGAAAGAUUUAUCGGAGAAGGAUCGGCCCGCGUUAGAUUAGAUAGUUGGUGGGUAACGGCCUACCAAGUCGACGAUCUAUAGCUGGUUUGAGAGGAUGAUCAGCAACACUGGGACUGAGACACGGCCCAGACUCCUACGGGAGGCAGCAGUGGGGAAUCUUAGACAAUGGGCGCAAGCCUGAUCUAGCGAUGCCGCGUGAGUGAUGAAGGCCUUAGGGUCGUAAAGCUCUUUCACCAGGGAUGAUAAUGACAGUACCUGGAAAAGAAACCCCGGCUAACUCCGUG